UCAAGUAAUUAAGUGCAUGUGGUGGAUGCCUUGGCAGUCAGAGGCGAUGAAAGACGUGAUAGCCUGCGAAAAGCUCCGGGGAGGCGGCAAAUAUCCUUUGAUCCGGAGAUGUCUGAAUGGGGGAACCCACCUACUUUAAGGUAGGUAUUGCAACAUGAAUACAUAGUGUUGCAAGGCGAACGAGGGGAAGUGAAACAUCUCAGUACCCUUAGGAAAAGAAAUCAAUUGAGAUUCCCUCAGUAGCGGCGAGCGAACGGGGAUCAGCCCAUUAAGUUAUGUGUGUUUUAGUGGAACGCUCUGGGAAGUGCGAACGUAGAGGGUGAUAUUCCCGUACACGAAAGGGCACACAUAAUGAUGACGAGUAGGGCGAGGCACGUGAAACCUUGUCUGAAUAUGGGGGGACCAUCCUCCAAGGCUAAAUACUCCUGACUGACCGAUAGUGAACCAGUACCGUGAGGGAAAGGCGAAAAGAACCCCUGUGAGGGGAGUGAAAUAGAUCCUGAAACCGCAUGCAUACAAGCAGUGGGAGCACCUUCGUGGUGUGACUGCGUACCUUUUGUAUAAUGGGUCAGCGACUUAUAUUCAGUAGCGAGGUUAACCGUAUAGGGGAGCCGUAGAGAAAUCGAGUCUUAAUAGGGCGUUUAGUUGCUGGGUAUAGACCCGAAACCAGGCGAUCUAUCCAUGAGCAGGUUGAAGGUUGGGUAACACUAACUGGAGGACCGAACCCACUGUCGUUGAAAAGCCAGGGGAUGACUUGUGGAUAGGGGUGAAAGGCUAAUCAAGCCUGGUGAUAGCUGGUUCUCCCCGAAAGCUAUUUAGGUAGCGCCUCGGACGAAUACCAUAGGGGGUAGAGCACUGUUUCGGCUAGGGGGUCAUCCCGACUUACCAAACCGAUGCAAACUCCGAAUACCUAUGAGUACUAUCCGGGAGACAGACUGCGGGUGCUAACGUCCGUAGUCAAGAGGAAAACAAUCCAGACCGCCAGCUAAGGCCCCAAAAUCAUAGUUAAGUGGGAAACGAUGUGGGAAGGCAUAGACAGCUAGGAGGUUGGCUUAGAAGCAGCCACCCUUUAAAGAAAGCGUAAUAGCUCACUAGUCGAGUCGGCCUGCGCGGAAGAUGUAACGGGGCUAAAACUAUGUGCCGAAGCUGCGGAUGUAUACUUUGUAUACGUGGUAGGGGAGCGUUCUGUAAGCCGAUGAAGGUGUGUUGAGAAGCAUGCUGGAGGUAUCAGAAGUGCGAAUGCUGACGUGAGUAACGACAAAACGGGUGAAAAACCCGUUCGCCGAAAGACCAAGGGUUCCAGUCCAACGUUAAUCGGGGCUGGGUGAGUCGACCCCUAAGGCGAGGCCGAAAGGCGUAGUCGAUGGGAAAAUGGUUAAUAUUCCAUUACUUCUGUGUAAUGCGAUGAGAGGACGGAGAAGGCUAAAUCAGCCUGGCGUUGGUUGUCCAGGUGAAAGGAUGUAGGCAUGUAUCUUAGGCAAAUCCGGGGUACUCUAUGCUGAGAUCUGAUAGCAAGCUGUACUUGUACAGCGAAGUGGUUGAUGCCAUGCUUCCAGGAAAAGUCUCUAAGCUUCAGUUACACAGGAAUCGUACCCGAAACCGACACAGGUGGUCAGGUCGAGUAGACCAAGGCGCUUGAGAGAACUCUGCUGAAGGAACUAGGCAAAAUGGUACCGUAACUUCGGGAGAAGGUACGCUGUUGUUGGUGAUGGAACUCGCUUCCUGAGCUGACGACAGCCGCAGAAACCAGGCCGCUGCAACUGUUUAUUAAAAACAUAGCACUCUGCAAACACGAAAGUGGACGUAUAGGGUGUGAUGCCUGCCCGGUGCUGGAAGGUUAAUUGAUGGGGUUAGCGUAAGCGAAGCUCUUGAUCGAAGCCCCAGUAAACGGCGGCCGUAACUAUAACGGUCCUAAGGUAGCGAAAUUCCUUGUCGGGUAAGUUCCGACCUGCACGAAUGGCAUAAUGAUGGCGGCGCUGUCUCCAGCAGAGGCUCAGUGAAAUCGAAAUCGCUGUGAAGAUGCAGUGUACCCGCGGCUAGACGGAAAGACCCCGUGAACCUUUACUGCAGCUUGACACUGAACUUUGACCUUACUUGUGUAGGAUAGGUGGGAGGCUUUGAAGCUGGAACGCUAGUUCCAGUGGAGCCGUCCUUGAAAUACCACCCUGGUAAUGUUGAGGUUCUAACUCUGUCCCGUGAUCCGGGACGAGGACCGUGUCUGGUGGGUAGUUUGACUGGGGCGGUCUCCUCCUAAAGAGUAACGGAGGAGUACGAAGGUGCGCUCAGCGUGGUCGGAAAUCACGCGUAGAGUAUAAAGGCAAAAGCGCGCUUAACUGCGAGACCCACAAGUCGAGCAGGUACGAAAGUAGGUCUUAGUGAUCCGGUGGUUCUGUAUGGAAGGGCCAUCGCUCAACGGAUAAAAGGUACUCUGGGGAUAACAGGCUGAUACCGCCCAAGAGUUCAUAUC
rnacentral:rRNA from 1 species